UACGAAGGUGGCAAGCGUUGUUCGGAUUUACUGGGCGUACAGGGAGCGUAGGCGGUUGGGUAAGCCCUCCGUGAAAUCUCCGGGCCUAACCCGGAAAGUGCGGAGGGGACUGCUCAGCUAGAGGAUGGGAGAGGAGCGCGGAAUUCCCGGUGUAGCGGUGAAAUGCGUAGAGAUCGGGAGGAAGGCCGGUGGCGAAGGCGGCGCUCUGGAACAUUUCUGACGCUGAGGCGCGAAAGCUAGGGGAGUGAACGGG
rnacentral:rRNA from 1 species